GCUCGCCUGGUGGAAUGGUAGACACGAUAGACUUAAAAUCUAUUCUCUUCUAGGGGUGUCGGUUCAAGUCCGACGGCGAGUA
rnacentral:tRNA from 1 species